UUUUUUACUUUAAUUCACAUACAUUCUAGUCGAUUGGGUGGGUCUUUUGUCAAUUUGAGGUUUUGAUUCCAUGAUGUUUGAAUUUUUUAGUAAAAGACAAGUGUCCUUAGGGUUUCGGGUCUAGGUGUGGGUUGGGCUAUGGUGUAAUUGUAUGUUGUGUUUGGAAUGUAUGAUUUUUUUUGGCUGGUACAGAUUUAUUAGUUUGGAUGGUGCGGACAUGUUGUUCCAUGUUUUGACUAAGCGACCUGACUAAAGUAUUACGAACUAGUAAUUUGAUAAGUUUUUUUUGCAGGAACACUUUCACUACUGUUAGGAAGUUUAAAGGAUACAAGUUGAAUGGGUCACCAGUUGUCUUCAAUUGUGACUUAAAGAUAUCUCCAAUUGAGAACUUAGGCUUCACAGCAGGUGAUGGCUUCACAACUUUCUCAUUUUUCACUGCUAGAUCUAUUAGACCCAUCUCUCUCUUCAUGGAUUUCACCAACUCAACGUCCACAUUGUUUCCAACUAUGUCCAUCACAUAGAACGUAGACUGUAGAUUUUUCGGUUUUCGUUGCUAAAUCUGCUCUCAGUACUACUAGCCCUUUCUCCCGAAGAACUCUAGUUAUGUCUGAUAGCAACGCUACCCUGUUGUUUGCACAUAGUUCUAGCCGGUUCCAUGCACAAAGUUCUAGCCGGGUUCCACUGCAGCCUCUAAGCAUUUCAUAGCAUGCUGCUUCUUACUCACUGGCUAUUGGUUAUGUUCCGAAGUUCUUUCGAAGUGUUUAAACGGUAUUGA
rnacentral:lncRNA from 1 species